ACAAGAGUGCAAAAAGCAAGAGAAGACUUGCUAAGGCGCCAUGGUGCCUACCAAGAGGAACGCAUGGGUCGUAUGCUUGCUAGUGCUUGUGGUCACGGCCACAACUCUGCCCUUGUCGGCUGCAAAAGGGCAGAAGAGGUGCUAUGAUAUGCCAGAUUGCUAUGAUCAGCGUUGCUGUGAAUAUUGUGUUGCAGCCGGUCUCGGCGAGACAGGACACUGUAGAAAUUUUGUAGAAUGUUGUUGUAAUGUUUAGAAGAUAGCUCAAGAUGCUUAUUCUGCCAGAAUAUGUACUGGUGAGAUGGUAAUAUUUGAUAUUAAAUAAGUUUGUUAAAUAAUGCAUCUGGAUGGAUGUGAUCAAAAAUGGUCGAUAAUUCGAUUU